CCAGCCCAGCCCUGACCCUGCAGCUCUGGGGGAGGAGACCCAGACCUGGCAUUUUCAGGUGUUUUCAUUUGGUGAUCAGGACGGAACACAGAGGACUCACCAUGGAGUUUGGGCUGAGCUGGGUUUUUCUUGUUACUAUUUUAAAAGGUGUCCAGUGUGAGGUGCAGCUGGUGGAGUCUGGGGGAGGCUUGGUACAGCCUGGGGGGUCCCUGAGACUCUCCUGUGCAGCCUCUGGAUUCACCUUCAGUAACUACUGGAUGGGCUGGGUCCGCCAGGCUCCAGGGAAGGGGCUGGAGUGGGUCUCACAUAUUAGUAGUGGUAGCGGUAGUAGCACAUACUACCCAGACUCUGUCAAGGGCCGAUUCACCAUCUCCAGAGACAACGCCCAGAACACGCUGUAUCUUCAAAUGAACAGCCUGAGAGCCGAGGACACGGCUGUGUAUUACUGUGCGAGAGACACAUUGAGGGGAAGUCAGUAGAUGAAAAGGCCUCAACCAUGACCACCAAGAUCAGCGUCCUGAGGAAGCUCAAGGGUGCCUG